rnacentral:misc_RNA from 1 species
CAGCUGAGGCCAAAGAAUAUAUUAAGAGCAACAGAGAUUAGCAUGGAGUCCAGAGGCAUACGAGGAAUCUGACCCUUUCAAGCCUGGGCCUGGUUAUUUGAAGGAAGAGUUUACAUGAAUUAUGAAAAUUCGAUAUCCUGCAGUAGUAUUGUAAUUAACAAUGUAUUAUCCUUAUCUUUUGAUAUUCUUAUUAUUGUUGUCUAUGCAUUUGUUGUUAAGUUGGCAGAAAGCAUGUUAACGCUUAUUCCCCAGUGAUUUUAGCUCAUUCAAAUCCAGAAAAGAAACUGGUGGCUCUUUUUUUGUGUCUUCUCUGCAGAUUGAAAUUAUUCUUGGACAAUUGAACCUGUAAAGAUUAUUGGGCAGGAAUUGUUGGGCCUUUUUCCUGCUCUCAUUCACUUAAAUGUGAGACCGCA